CUUUUGGGGGUUGCUAGCCAGUGCUGGAGGGUGGAGUGGGCAGAUUGGAGAGUGGGCUCCAACCCACUCACUCCACCUUUUAGUGCCGGCUGAAAAGACCCGGACCAAACUCCCUCCAUUCCUUUCCCUCCUUCCCAUUCUGAAAACAUCACCAGGGCUGGGAGGGGUGAGGGGUGAGGCUAGGAGAGAGCAGCUGCAGAGGUGCAUCCACUCCAAAUUGCAGCUGAACCCCCCACCCCCUGGGACCCAACAGCAAACAUCUGUCAGGUCCAAGGGAUUGCUGUAACUCAUAGCGCUUCCUGCCAAGGACUAUGAGUUACAGGGAGGAGCUGCACUUCUGACUGUGCGCAAAGGCACCUGCUGGGAUUUUCAAAGUACCUAAGCAGGUAAAGCAUCUCAGCAAGUGGCUAUCUGUCUCCUAGGUACCUGAGUACUUUCAAAAUUGGGUCCCAAGUGUUUUCAAAAGAUCUGGCCAAAAUUAUAUUUUUUCUCUUACCUUGAAUCUGAAUAGGUUAAACCAAAGAUGUGUCCCAUGGGGCUGUUAAUGAAAUUCUGGGAAUUCAGUCUUUUCCUUUUACCUUAAUGUAUUCAUGCAGUAAGUCUUUUAUUCAAUAACAUUUUUAAAAUCAUUUUGGUGGAAGAAAACUUUCAAAGAAUGCCAGCAAAUCUUUGAAGAAAGUUUGAACAGAUUAAGGAGAAAGCAUCUAGAAGGACUAUCAGUUGGAAAACAUAACUAGACUACCCAGAACAUGAGGCAUAAAAGGACAAAGAGCAGACCUAUCAUCUGGUGGAAGGAGUUGCUAAUGAGCUCUACACAGCAAAAAAGGGCACUUGAAGAAAGAGCAAGAAAAAACCCCAGGUCAAUGCAGAGGACAAAAAAAUGGCUGCAUAGAAGUCCAUGGCUAAACUUCCAGUGACUGCAGGGCCAAGAUAUUACUCUGAGGUCAUACCUUCCUACUACUUAUAUUUCACACAGUUAAGAAUUUGGCCACCAAACGUAAAAAUAGCCAGAAGGGAGGUGCCUUUCCCAGAAAAA
ensembl:lncRNA